rnacentral:rRNA from 1 species
UUGAAAGGGAAACGAUUGAAGUCAGUCGUACCGGUGGGUAAUCAGCCUUUCGGCGUGAUUAUGUGGAGCGUGAGGAGUUAAACGCCCUCAUGCCUGCAUAUUCGUGUUCUUUGGGUGUACUUACCCGCAUGGUAGGUUAACAUCAAUUUCGAACGUCAUAAAAUGGUUGGAGGAAUGUAGCUUCGAUCUCGUAUUGAAGUGUUAUACCUUCGGCAGAUGUGAUGAUCGGGAUUGAGGAUUGCAACGGAUACCCCUCGGGCUACCCGUCUGAUCUCUGAAAGCUACUCUGGUGCCGAAAGCUCGCUUACGGUCAUCAAAGUUGACGUUCAACAGAUUAGAACGGGAUAAAUUCGUUAAGGAUGUUGACGUA